CCUUUGAAGUAACUAGCUCCCAAGACUUGAGCUUGGUUGAUGGUCGACUUACAGCCCUUUUUGUUCUGUCCCAGGUCUAGAUCACGGUAGUUGACGUAGGCUUGUCGUGGAUUCGCCGAGACAUAAGGAGUCAUGAAACUGUAGAUAUCUCUGAUCCAUUUGAUGUGCCUGCUUGCUAUCAUGUCACUGUCUGGCCAAUUCGUUACGUAAUGAAUCUUGAAUAUGACUCCUUUCCUAUGCGGAAACGGGAUCUGUGAUUCAGGGGUUUUCGCCAUCAUUCCUCCGUAAGGAUUCCAUAUCAUCAUUGGAUUAUCUUCUUUAAGCAACUUCUUGAAGAUCCCUUUAAGCCCUGACUCAGGAAUAGGCUUCUUCACGAAGUCGGAUUUGGCUUUGAAGUUGUUCUUUGGGAAAGCUGACUUCCCUUGAAGCAAUACCUUGGUAGGAGUGCGGCUCGCGAAUCCAGAGAUGUAAACAAUGGAUUCAAGCCAGCUCAUUUCGGUACAAUCUUUCGGCAUUAGACCUAGCUCCGGAAAGCUCUUGUUCAUAACUUUCAUCAACACACCUUUGUUGCCAAGAAACACAGUGUUAUACGACGUCGUGGCGGUCUUGCUUCCGUUGUUUGCAGCUACGUUGAAGAUCACUCGGAUGAAUAGCUCGUCGACAAGCUUGUCCGCGACCAUUUGCCACUUUGAAAGAAUCUUGUUUCCAGGGUCUUGUUGUAACGUUUUGGUGACGGUGAAGACGGUUACCGUGUUAGGAACAGGAACAAGCUUGAUCUUCCAUUCUAGAAUUAUCCUGAAACUGCCUCCAGCGCCUCCUCCAAUGGCCCAAAACAUAUCCUCGCCCAUCCCUUUUCGGUCUAGUAUUUUACCGUUGGCGUCGACGAUCUUUGUGUCUAGAACGUUAUCUGCACCGAGACCAUAUUUCCUCAUCAUGGAACCGUAUGCACCGCCGGUUAUGUGCCCGACUAUUCCUAAGCUGGAGCACAAACCGGCCGGAAAACUAUGGACUCUGCUCUUCUCUGCAAUCCUACAGGUAACAAAAAAAGUUUCUUGAUCAAAUAUACAGUCAAAAGAUAGAUCCUAGCGUCACAAUUCCAUUUUUGUCUAAAUUUCGGAAUAAACUGCUCUUUAGAUGCUAUAUUUUCUUAGUGAUCCUUCUUAAUAGUGAAAAUUUAUUUGUUGUCUUUCUAUUUACCUGUAGUAAAGUUAACCAACUGUAGCACUAGCUUGAACCCAAGCACUAUUGUCUUUAAUAUUAAUGUUGACUUUUCUCUGCUUGGACAGGUCCAGCACUAUAAAAGGUUUUUCGAUCUCCGAGACAUAAGACAAGCCUUCGUAGUCGUGACCGCCGCUUAUGACGCGCACAUGAGUUCCAAGUUUCUUGGAACAGAUGAUGGAAGCUUGGACGUGAGACUCGUGGAGCGGUUUGAAUAUGAAUCCCGGUUUAGGCAUGGACUUUGUCAAGUACCGGAGAUUCUGAGCUGUGGACUGAAGGACUUCGCUGAACAUGGAAACGUUUUUGGCAAGAGCGAAAAACGUACUUUCGAGUGGGAAAGAAACAUGCGUGUUUUUAUGGAGACAGUUUAUGAAUUGAUCUUGGAGGGAAGCUGAAGAAGUUGUUGGUGUGAUAGUGUAGAAUGAGAAAUAUAAGGCGAAAAUCAAAAGAAAAGAAAAUGCAGGGGAUGGUUUUGAAAUUCCCAUUUCUCUCUUUAAGGAAGCUCUGCUCUAUUGUUUGAUCCCAAUCUGCAAAAAUUUAGUCUAUAACUAUAUGUACUAGAUGCAUUGCUCUCGCGCAAGCGCGGGGUUGUGGACAUAGUUCUUGUUUCAUCUCAAUAUUUGCUAAGGUUAUUGUAGUUGUGAAUUUUGCGUUUUGAAUUGUUUUUCAAGUUUUUUUAUUGUUAUAGGGUUAGAGUUGUGAUGAUGAACUGUGUAUACAUUAUUCUCCACUUAUGAAGGACUAAACUGUGUUAGUAAUGUGAUUGAUAUAGUUCAUGUUGUUGUUUGCUGUGUCACUGAAACUUAUUGUUUGUUUGUCUUUUUAAUUUGUUUCUUGUACUAUUGAGAGUACAUAAAUUAUAUUAAAGUUGUUGAGAAUACCUUUUGUUUUUGGAUAUUUUUUUCUCCAGUUUAGUUGUGUAAGUUGUGUGUAUUAAGUAAUAAUUUUUAUUAUUCUUAAUAUGUUUGUUAUAUGUUUUUAUUUUAUUUUUAAACUUAUUGCUCUUACUGGACCUUUAAAACAAAUACAUUAAGAUUUAUAGAAAUAACUAUAAAAUGAGUGACAGUUCUGAGUAUUUGGGUUUUAAUGAGUUUUAAACGAAUUUAUGUAUUUUUCAUAAGAAGGCAAUAGCUUUGGCCUGUUGACAUUGGGCAUGUAAGCUAUUUUUAUAAGACAAGAGGAGUGAGCAGGUGGAGCUGUUGUUACCGCCUUUGUGUAUGUCGGGUUUGUCUCUUGUAUCUCCAGUUGUGGCUGUGUUUGUUUAUCUUUUAUUUGAUGGCUAAUAUGUAAACAAAAAUCAUUGUUAGUUGUAUUUAUCAGAGUUUAUAACUUAUUCUGCUUUUUUUUGUUUAGGUAAUUUCACUGAUCUUGGUUGUCGUUUUCGUCUUCUUCGUUGCAAAAGUAAGUUUGUAAAUUGUUAAAUAGCUGGCCAUGUAGUUUGUAUUUGUUUAGCUGACUCGAUGUAUGUGUCGUUACGAAACUCAGUUUGUAAAUUGUUAAAUAGCUGGCCGUGUAGUUUGUAUUUAUUUAGCUGACUCGAUGUAUGUGUCGUUGAGUUUUAGUUGAGGUGAUUGGUUUGGUAUAUUUGUUUUGAAGUUUAUUUUUAAGAUUAGACAAAAAAGAGAGGUGAUCAUUAAUGAUUAGUCUUUUUUGGAAUUCUAGUUUUUGGUGUUUUGAUUGUUUGGGUUGUUGUGGUUUCUUUUAAGUUAUAAAAUAAAGGUCUGUGUAAAAUUAGUUUGAUAAGUAAGGGAGAUAAAUAGACGACCACAAAAUUUGGGUAGAAAAUAUUUUUGAUUAUUGAUGUUAGCACAAUAUAGAUAAUAAUAUAAAGAGAAUUGUUUCUUACGGAUCAAUGAGAAGACGGAUAACGACUCGAGUUGUUUCUUGGCUAAGGUCAGAGCCUUGGAUAGAUUAGAUUUUUCCAACUACAUCUGCGAGUUUAAAUAUCAGUUAUGAGAACGAAACAUAUUAUAAACACAGAUGCAAUAUGAUAAUAUAUCUGGGAGUUCUAGGUUUGUGUUCGCAAUCACUUGGAAAUUGUCAAACAGUCUAAUAAUGAUAGGAGAUUGAUCUCAGGAGUACCCGUGAUGACAUUAUAAACAAUAGUUGGUUAUAUGAAACGAAUGAGGAAUGAAUGAUCAAUGAUUAGCACGAGCACCUAGCAACUUCAAAACGAUAGACUUUCAUAAUGGAACCGGCUUUCAAAGAAGGCAUGUAAUGAUUAGCACGACUGGCAAAAAUAAACCCAUGAAUCACAGAAUCUGCAAAUAAUAUUAUUUAACAAAGAAUCAGGAAAUCAAUUAAAAAAUUAUAUUAAAUAGUGUGAAAAAUCGUAGAUUAACUUACCUUUUCAUCAAGGAAGAGAACCGUGAAUCCCAUAAAUUCACUGUCUUUCUUGAAGUUCAAGGAAUCCCAUAAGCGACGAGGUUAGAGGCUAUAUGCUCUGACUUUACAACCAACACUGAGAGAUUCGAAGGUUGAGUGACGAAUGCCGGAAAUGCUGGUUUGAGGAACUGGAGAGGCAGAGAGACAUUUUCUGGAAGAUCGUUAAAGCUAAGAGGAAUCAAUGAGUUUUGUGGAGAUGCAGAUUGGGUUCAUCAAAGAUGAGAAUCAUAUAUACAUAGGACUUACAUAAAGACUACAAAUCAGGAACAUUUAAGAUCAAGCAACUUAAGAUGGGGGGAUGAAGAGUUCACCGGUGAAAAAAUAGAUUACUAACAAACACACAGCGCAAUUCUGUAACUCAGACUUGUCUAAGACAAUAAUGAAAAGAACCAUAACUCAUGUUAAACGAAGACAGUUUUCAUGUUAAACGAAGACAUUUUACAAUAUGGAAAAAAUAUAAUUGUAGUUUUUUUCAUAUAACGUGAUGAACCUCAUUUAAAAUGAAACUCAUAAUACACUUGUAGGCCUAGCCCACAGAGAAAACCGAAGAAGUAAAGGUUUCCGACCUUCAUAAAUAUAUAUUAGUUUCAGCCAUCAAUGUACAAUGUAUCCUUUAGUUUAGUGGUAUAAAUGUUGGUGUUUAUAUCUCAAUAACCCAGGUUCGAACCAGAGGCUUGACACUUUUUCACCUUUUUUAAAAGUGAAACCCACCAAAAUGCUGACGUGUCGUCUCAGGAAAGAGGAAACUGCCUCAUUAUAUUAUAGAUUUUGACAAUAUUUUUCAAAGCAAUGUCAUUUUUAAGAUGAAAAGACAUUUUUUAGGAUCAAAAGUUACAACUUUUGACAUUUAUUCGGAGAAAUUUACAUGUUUACACAUUUUGAUAACUUAUUUUUAACAAAUGCAAUUUUUAGGACCAAAAGACACAUCUUUGUACAAUUUAACAAUUUUUUUAAACCAAUGCAACUCUUAGAUGAAAAGAACAUUAUUAAGAAAAUAUAAAUUUAUACAUUUUUAAAAAUAUGUUUUUUAAAUAAUGCAACUUUUAAAAUGAAAAGACACAUUUUUACAGUGAAAAGACACAACCUUUAACAUUAAUUUGGAUUCCUAUUAUUAAUAGACAGGAAAAUGACUAUUUAUUUAAAUAUGUAUAUUUUCUCCUAGUUUUAUAAGUUAUAUUUAAACAUAUACAUAUAUAUAUAUAUAUAUAUAUUUUUUUUUUUUGAUAAAUUUCAGUUUUUUUUUAUUUUCGUUCAGAUAUGUUAAAUUGGUAAAAAUCAAUAUGUUAAUUUUCUUAAUGAGCCGAUAAAUUUAAAUAAAAUUCUAGUCAACUCAUUAUAUAUCAACUAAAAAUAUAUUUGGUUAGUAUUGUUUUAGUUUUAUAUUUGUAGGGCACACUUACGAAUAAUUUAAUUAUAUAUAUAAAUAUAUGUAUAUAUAUAACAGUUUUUUAGAAACAUAAAUAAAAAGUCAAUUAUUACUAUAUUUUAAAAAAUUUGACAAAUAUAAAAUUUUAAAAUAAAUUUACACUAAUGGUUGAUAUAUAAAUUAUUAAUUAUUACCUUAUUUAAAAAUCUUGAAUUAAACAUUUAUGAAAGGAAAUUAUACAUGUCAUCGUCAAGUGAUGCCAUGUCAUAAUUUCUUAAACCGUGUUAUCUUUUUAGUGAAAAAAUGUGCUGAUGACGUAUGUCAUAAUCACUUUUUAAAUAAUGUAUAAAAUAUUUUUCGAGAUUGUCUGAAAUAAAGGAAGAAAAAGAAACAUUGUUCCAUUUAUUCGAGCUUAUUGUAUGAUGAUACUUAUUUAAAGGGUAUUAUAUAUCACCAGCUUAGCUUCAAUAAAGAAGUGGGACGCUUUGUUCGUGUCUAAACAAGUUUUCUGGAUGAGCCUUUGUUUUAAUCUUCACCAAUCUGUUGAAAUUGUCUUUGAAGUACUUUGCUCCCCAGACUUGAGCUUGUUUGAGGCUUGUCCUUGAGUUGUUGCUGUUCUGUCCCAGGUCUAGAUCUCUGUAGUUCACAUAUGCUUGUCUUGGGUUACUUGAGACAUAAGGCGUCAUGUAAUUGUACAACUCCCUGAUCCAUUUGAUACGCAUGUCUGGUCUCUUCUCGGUGUCUGACCAGCUCCUGUAAUACAGAAUCAUGAAGCUGGUUCCACUUCUAUGCGGAAACGGGAUCUCAGAUUCAGGGAUUUUAUCCAUCAUUCCACCGUAUGGAGUCCAUACCAUUAGCGCAGCUUCUUCUUCAAGAAUCUUCUUGAUCAUCCCUUGAAGACCUAAAAUAGGAAUAGGUUCUUUAGCAAAAUCGGAUUUGGCUUUGAAGUAAACUUCUCCCAUAGGUGACUUUGCUUGAAGCAAAACUUCAGGAGGAGGAGGAGUGCUUGUCGGGAAUCCAGAGUUGUAAAUAACGGAUUCGAUCCAGUUCAUUUCUAUACAAUCCUCCUGAGUUAGUCCUAGUUCUGGAAAAUCCUUGUGCAUAACCUCCAUCAAGUUGCCUUUCUCGCCAAGAAACUGACCUAUGUAUGACAUCGCCACUGUCUUGUUUUCAUUGUUUCCAGCUAUGGUGAAGAACACGCGUAGGAGGAGAUCUUCAACAAGCUUGUCCGCAACUUGUUGCCACUUUGAAAGAAUCUUGAAUCCUGGGUCUUGGUCUAGUGUUUUGGUGACCGUGAAGACAGUUAGGGUUUGAGGAACUGGAACAAGCUUGAUCUUCCAUGACAAAAUUAUCCCGAAACUCCCUCCUGCGCCUCCUCUAAUCGCCCAAAACAUAUCCUCUCCCAUCGCGGUUCUGUCUAGUAACUUGCCGUUAGCAUCAACUAUCUUUGCGUCUAGAACGUUAUCAGCAGCAAGACCAUACUUUCUCAUCAAGGAACCGUAUGCACCGCCUGUUAUAUGCCCACCAAUGCCUAAGUUCGGGUAUAUACCUGCAGGGCAUCCAUGAAUCUUGCUCUUCUCUGAAAUUCUACAGUUGACAAGCCAAAGAUUCUAUAGUCAAAUAUUGUUUACUCUUGUGUGUGGUUACGUUUUGUCAUUGCAUAUUGUGAAGUCAAACAUAAGAGUUUUAAGUAUUUAGAAAACGUUAAAAUAACUCGUUCGAAAAAACGUUAAAUUAACAUAAUUCAACCUAUGUUUUAGUUUAUAUAUUUUUUACUUAAUUUUCUAGUUUUUUUUUAAAUUCAGAUCUGAAAUCAAACCUUUAGUUUAUCAAUGUAAUAUCAAAAUAGAACAUGAUUUUAGCUACGCGUUUUAAAAAAAAAAUUAGGUGUACAAGAUUUUGAUGAUAUUAUUAACCAAUAAUCAAUAAUCCAAAGUUUUGAGUAAGACAAAUAGUAGAUAAACCUUUUUCGGUAAUUCAGGAAUAUAAUAUUUGCUAGCCAAUUUUCAUAAUAUAUAAACGCAAACACAUAAAUAAAUUCAGUAACAAAAAAAAACAUAAAUAAAUUUGUGUUUAAAACAAAACGAGAUUUACCUGUAGUAAAGCUCACCGACUGUAGCACCAGCUUGAACCCAAACACUAUUGUCUUCAAUAUCAACAUUGAUCUCUCUCAGUUUCGACAGAUCAAUAAUUAUAAACGGUGUUUCUAUAUGUGAAACAUAGGACAAGCCUUCAAAAUCGUGACCGCCACUACAAGAAAACACGCGGAAUUCCGACGCCAAAGGCGUCGGAACUUUUUUGACAGAUUUCCGACUGAUUACCGACGAAAACAAAAUAAUUUGAAGUCGUCGGAAUUCCGUCGGCUAAUUUCGACGAAUUUCCGAGAAAACAAGGGUCGUCGGAAUAUUUCGACGACUUUUCGACGACAUUCCGAUAAAAAAUAUAACCGUUGUAGUCGUCGAAAAGUCGUCGGAAAAUUCCGACGAAUUUCCAACGACAUUCCGAUUAAAAGAUAUAACCGUUACGGUUGUCGGUAUUCCGUCGGAAUAUUCCGACGAAUUUCCAACGAACCAAGUGACCGUUGCCGACAAAUAUAUAUGACCGUUUUAUAGCCGUUUGAGAUUGGAAAAUACCGACGGAAUUCCGACGGAAUGCUUUAUCUCUGUCGGAAUUCCGUCGGAAAGUCGUCGGAUGUCCGUAAGAAAUUUCCUAUAAAUGCAGCCCCUCCUCAUUCAACUCAUUCACACCUCAUUCUCUCUUCUUUCUCUUUAGUCAUAACAAUUCCGUGAAAAUCAUGUCUUCAGGAGCUUAUUAUCGUUCGUGAAUGGAUAAACCUCAUUUGGAUCCCAACACCAAUUUGCUUACGGAAGAAUACGUUCAAGCGAUUGGAGAAUUCAUGAGGCUUGUUCAACAGCAACCGGAUGCAAAAAGUGGUAUGUUAAGAUGUCCCUGCUCUACUUGCAAUAAUAAUAAGGUUAUAAAAGAAUUUGAUGUUUGGACUCAUUUGUAUAUGAAAGGGUUUUCACGUAAUUAUAAAAUUUGGUACCUUCAUGGGGAAACUGGUUAUGAAUAUGGUAGUACUAGCGAACCUCAGCCUGUUAGUGAACUUCAGCCUGAUAUUAGGUUAGAAGAACCUAGAACGGAUAUAGAUUAUGGUGUAGGUACUGAGCAGAUGGUACAUGAUCAUUAUAGAGGGGAAUAACCAAAUCCCGAAUCUAGGAGAUUUUUUGACAUGUUGGAUGCAGGAAAACAGCCUUUGUAUCAAAAUUGUAGAGAUGGUCAUUCAGUCUUAUCAUCUGCAACUAGAUUAAUGGGUAUUAAGACAGACUAUAAUUUGGCUGAAGAAUGUAUGGAUGCGAUUACUGAUUUUGUCAAAGGUAUUCUACCUGAGGAUAACCUUGCACCGGGUUCAUUCUACGAGGUUCAGAAACCUGUAGCCGGUCUUCAACUACCGUACGAAGUGAUAGGUGUAUGUAUUGACAACUGCAUGAUCUACUGGAGAGCGGAUGAGACACAAAAUGUAUGCAAAUUUUGUGGGAAACCUCGUUAUCAGGAGACGAGGGGAAGAGUUCCGAUCCCGUUCAAAAGAAUGUGGUAUUUGCCUUUGACGGAAAGAUUGAAGAGGUUGUAUCAGUGUGAGCGCACAGCAAAAGCAAUGAGAUGGCAUGCAGAGCAUUCCACAAAUGGUGAGAUUAGACAUCCUUCAGAUGCGAAGGCUUGGAAACAUUUCCAGUCAACAUAUCCAGAAUUUGCGGAAGAGAGAAGAAAUGUUUAUCUUGGAUUAUCUACUGAUGGUUUCAGCCCGUUUGGAAAGCAUGGAAGACAGUAUUCUCUAUGGCCAGUUAUUGUGACCCCGUACAACUUACCGCCGAGCUUGUGCAUGCGACGAGAGUUUUUGUUUCUCUCAAUUCUCGUCCCCGGUCCAGAUCAUCCUAAAAGAUCACUAGAUGUGUUUCUUCAACCACUGAUAUAUGAGUUGCAACAACUAUGGGCGCAUGGUUUUGAGACAUACGAUGUUUCGUGCAAAGAAAACUUUCAGAUGCGGGCAGUACUUAUGUGGACAAUAAGUGAUUUUCCAGCAUAUGAUAUGUUAUCUGGAUGGACAACACAUGGGAAGCUAUCAUGUCCAUAUUGUCAAGAUGACACAGAUGCUUUCCAACUAAAGAACGGAAGGAAAACGUGUUGGUUUGACUAUCACAGACGAUUUCUACCACCUGAUCAUCCAUACCGCAGGAGUAAGACUUCGUUUACGAAGAACAAGCAGGUGUUUGAUGGUCCACCUGAGGAAGUUAGUGGGGAAGAUUUGUUGAAGCAGUUUAGGGAUUUUGAUGCAGAAAGGACGCCAGAUGUAGGUGGACAUGAAAACAUUCGAGUCAGUGCGGUUGGAGAGCUACAUAACUGGCACAAAAAGAGUAUUUUCUGGGAUCUGCCAUAUUAGGAGAGUCAUCUAUUGCGGCAUAAUUUAGAUGUCAUGCAUAUUGAGAAGAACUUCUUCGACAAUCUGAUGAACACAGUCCUUAACAUCCAAGGUAAAACGAAGGUUAAUUUGAAGUCAAGGUUGGAUUUAGUCGAUAUCUGUGAUCGUUCUGAACUUCAGGUUGAUGAGAACGGUACGGCCCCUUUUCCCAUUUAUCGGCUGGAUGGUGCUAGAAAAGAAGAGUUCUUUGAUUGGAUUACAAAUAAAGUGAAAUUUCCUGACGGAUAUGCAUCAAAUUUGGGGAACUGCGUUGAUAGAAGCGAAGGAAAGUUUAGUGGCUUCAUGAUUGUCAUGUAAUUAUGCAGCGCCUCCUUCCGGUUGCUUUUUCAGCAUUAUUGCCAUGCAAUGUUCAUGAAGCAAUUGCAGUUAUCUUAUAUUUUUACAAUUUAAUUUAUUUUUAUAUUUAACAAUUAUGCUUAUAUAAACUUAAUACUUAUGAAAAUUAUGUCUUUUAUCUAUGUAGGGAUAAGUGUUUUCUUCCGCGACUUAUGCAGCAGAAUAGUGACUGAAGAGGGUAUUAAUAAUUUGAAGACAAACGCACCAGUCAGCAUGUGCAACCUCGAGAAGAUAUUUCCUCCAUCAUUUUUUGAUGUAAUGGAACAUCUUGCUAUUCAUCUCGCAAGAGAAUUGGAACUUGGUGGUCCUGUGCAGUACAGAUGGAUGUAUAUUUUUGAGCGUUAUAUGCAUCAUCUGAAGAAGAUGGUCAAAAAUCAAAGCAGGGUGGAAGGAUCUAUAGUGGCACAGGUGAUCAAUGAAGAAACUGCAAUCUUUGCUGAAAAUUAUUUUCCACCAGAAGUGCAUACAAAACACCGAUCGCAUGAUGACAGAGGGGAGAGAGCAACAUAUCAUGUUACUGUCCCAAGCAUGUUCAAGGAAAUAGGAUGACUUAGUGGAAAAUUCACGAAGCGCAUACUUACGGACACUGAGCACGAUCAUUUGCAAAUUUGCUCACCAACUGUGAAGAUGUUCUACAAUAUGAGAGGUAAAAAUAUUUUUUUAUUUACAUUGUUAGAUUAAUAUUCAAUAAAUUUAUUUCAUAUUGAUAAUAUUUUUGUAUAUAGUGUAUAUAUGGCGGAGUUGCAUUGUGUAGUAUUCUAUUGUGAUUGAUAUGACACCACCAAAGAUAGAGGAGUGAAGAUUGAUGCGUUUGGUAUUACAUCAUUUCAUUCGCGGCGGAAACUUCAAUACUAUGAUCCCUUCAUUCUUGGUUCGCAAGCUGAUCAGGUAUGUCAAUCUAUUCAUAAUUUUUUACCAAUAUAAUUAAUUAAUGUUAUAUAUUUUACUAAUAUUUGUAUAAUUGAUAUGUAUAGGUGUGUUACAUCAGUUACCCUCGGGUGACGUACAGAGAUGAUCCAUGGGUCACUGUAACGCAAAUCAACCCAAGAGGACGAGUGGAUGGAACUUCUGAUGAUGAUGAACCAUUAUUGCAACCAGAGUCUACCAGCAACGCCCAGGCAGUUGAAGAUUUGGCAAAUGUUGAACUCGUUGAGGAUUUGACUGAGUUUGGACUUGAUGUUGUUGUACAUUCGGAGCCAGAAGCUGAUGUUGGGGAAUUUGAUGAAGAUUCAGAAGAUUCGGAUUAGUUUUUUUUUUUUCUAUUGGUCUGUCGGAAAUCCCUCGCAAAAUACCGACGAGAUAGCGACGACAAAGAGUUUCAUUAAAGUUUGGAAAUGUCCUCGGUAAUUCGUCGGAAUAUACCGACGACAUUCCGACGAACUCGUCUUGUUUGUCGGAAUGUCGUUGGUAUAUUCCGACGAAUUACCGAGGACAUGUGUUUUUAAAAAAUUUCCAACAUAAAAAUCUAUAAAUUUAUAUGCCAAAACUAUGAAAAUAAUACAUAAUAAGUGUUUAGUAUAAUAUUAGAUCGCAACCGUUCAAAUAUAACAAUUCAUUAAAAUAUUUAUGUAUGCAUAUCAUUGUUUUCAUAACAUCUCAUCUUAACACUCAUAUACUUAUACAAUCAUAUUCAUCUAAUCUUACACUACAAAAAAUGUUGUUGUGUAAAAUCGUGUUAUAAAAACAUUUCUAUUGUAAAAUCUUUAUGCAAAUACUAUAUAUAUUAUCAAAGAUUUGGAUUUUGCAUUUAGAAACUUGUAACCAACCCUUAAACACUAAGUCGUCGAAAAUGGUCGUCAGUAUUCCGUCGGAAUAUACUGACGAACUAAAUUCCGUCGGAAUUGUAAUUUACCCGGGAAAACCAAACCGCGUGAAAUUUUCGCGAACCGCCAAAUUGAUAUGUAUUUAAUGAUACCGACGGAAUACUGACGAACCAGUGUCCGUCGGAAAUGUUAAAUAUAAUUACCCUUCUUCUUCCUUCUUCGUUAUUUCCGCCUCCGGCUCUCUCUCAAUCCUCUCCGCGAUUUCUCUCCCUUUCACGGCGAUUCCGGCCGUUCUCGAGCCCCCAUCACCGGCGAAUCAUCUUCUCACCCUCAUAUCUCUUCCCCAAACCCCAAAUCAUGUAAGAAUCAUCCCAACCUUGUCUUAUCUCAAUUUUUUAGAGUUUUGGAAGUUAGAUCUCGGAUUUUAGGUUGUUUGAUUGAAAAUUUUAGGAUUGAAUGGAUAGUUUAGGAUAUAUAAGUUAGGAUUGUUGUUUGGAUUGUUGUUUAAGUUUUUUUUGGAAUUAUUUUGUAUUUUUGUUAAAAUUCAAAACGUUUUACUGUUUUUAAAACGUUUUUUGAUUUUUAAAAACGUUUUUCAAGUUUCCAAUAAUAAAAUAUGUAUAAUAAAACGUUUUUAAAAAAUUUUAAAAAUAUUUAACAACAUUUUUCUAUAAUUAUAAAUUUUUUAUAAUUUUGUGUACAUAUAUAUAUAUAUAUAUAUAUAUAUAUAUAAAAAUCAUGUAUAAUAAAAAAAUUUAAAAUUUUUAUAUUUUUUUACAAGUUUCCAGUAAUAAACUAUGUAUAAUAAAACAUUUUUUAAAAAUUUUAAAAAUAUUUAACAACAUUUUUCUAUAUUUAUAAAUUUUUUAUAAUUUUGUAUACAUAUAUAUAUAUAUAUAAAUCAUGUAUAAUAAAAAAAAAUUAUAAUUUUUUAUAAGUUUCCAGUAAUAAACUAUGUAUAAUAAAAGGUUUAAUUGUUUUUUUUUAAACGUUUAUAAAACCUUUUGUAAAUAUAUAAAUAAAAACAUUAAAAAUAGAAAUGAUUUGAAAAGAUUUUUGAUGUAUUAAUUUUUUUUAAGGUCCGAGGAUGUACCCCGCCUCGCAGCCCGUCUUCGACGUAGUUCGGUGAGCAGUUCCCGUGCAUCGGGAUUGUCUCACGAACAAAACUCGGUUCCCGCAUAUAUUACCGCUCCAGCUCCCGCUGCCCCUCCCGCUGCUGCUCAACAGGAUCCGGGGGUCAUGCCAGUUGAUCUAUUGGUUCAACAACCAGGUCGAGAGCAUCUCCCGGUUCUCCAUCCCAACCCACGACGAGGACAUAUCACUUGGUUAGUAUUUUUUUUUAUUUGUAGUAUUAUGUUUUUUUCCAUUAAUUAACUUGUUAACUAACUUGUAUUUUUUUUAAAGGUUCACCAAGUCGAAAAAUGGCAUUAGCAGGAGCAUCAACCAGAUGAUGUACUCCAUGCUUCGUUUUGGAUAUUCAAAGUGGAGUGUGAUUCCUUUCGAAGAACGAGAGUUGUGGUUUCGUCAGUUUGCGGUAAACUCUUCAUUUUUUUAAAGUAUUUACAUUUUUUUAAAAUAUAUUUACUUAUUACAUUAUGUUUGUUUUGUAGUAAGAGUUCAACUGGCACUCCGAUCUCACGGAAACAGUCCGUAAGAAAUUCAACGAAAAGGCCAUGGACUCUUAUACGAAGCAGAUAAACGCGUGGAAGACAGUUUGGCAGAAGAACAAGAGGCCACGGUUCAUCAACGGGACGGUGUGGGAGCAGUUGAUAGUUCAUUGGGAGAAGGAAGAAACUACAGAGACGUCUUCUAGGAUCUCCAAGAACCGGAAGAGCGAUCGUGGCGGGAAAGGUAUGUAUGUGCACAACCUCGGCGCUUGCUCUAUGUCUACUAAGGAGGAUGAACUUGUAAGUUUUUUUUUAUUAUUUAUCUUUAUAUUUUUUAAAUAAAUAUUUUAUAUAUUCCUUGGCUAAUAAUGGCGGUUUUUUAGAUCGAAGAAAAUGACGGUAAUCCCGUUGAUCGUCUCCAACUCAUUAAGGUGGCUCACACUAACAAGAAGACGGGUCAAAUUCAGGAUCUCGUGAUCAAAGGUGUCGUUGAUUUGGUGGAAGCUGAAAUAGCAACUCAAUCUCAGCCUCUCUCUGAUGACGGCGAUUCUACGGGAGCUUCAACCAACUUGUCCCUAUUGCAAAUAAAUGAGAUGGUUGAAAAGGUAAUUUUUUUUAUUAAUAUAUUUUUUUAUAAUGUCGAUUACUAAUUUGUCCAUAUUUACUAACUUUAAAUAUUUUUGUAGGCGGUUCCUAAAAGGAAAGGAGGCCGUUUAUUUGGGUUGGCCCGCCGUGCUUCUUCGUAUCCGGCAUCUUCUUCGCAAGCUCCGUAUGCCGAUCCCAUGAUUCUCGAGGAGCUACAUGACAAAGAUGAACGGAUUGGGGCAUUGGAGGAGCAGAACACCACUAUCCUUUCUGAGAAUGCCACUAUCCGUUCGGAGAAUGCCACUAUCCUUGCUGAGCUGGCAUCCCAGAAGAAGUUCAACGCCGAGAUAAUGCAGAAGCUAGAUCGUUUGAUGUCUUUGACUUCUUAGUUUUUUUCAGCUUUUUAAAACUUUCUGAAUGUUUUUUUUUUCGUUUUGCAUGAAUUUUAAACUUUCUGAAUGUUUUUUCUAUUUCGGUUUGUAUGAAUUUAAAUUCUAUAAUAUUAUUAGUUUUAAAUUUCAAAUUUUAUCUAUUUAUUAAUUAAUUUUUCAUAUAAAAAUAUAUAUAAAAAUGCAAAAUUAAUUCUUAUUAAAAUUGAUAUAUUCCGACGAACUAAAGCCUCGGAAAAUACCGACGGACUUUGAUUCGUCGGAAAUUACCGACGGACUAUGAUUCGUUGGAAAAUACCGACGGACUAUAAUUUGUCGGUAUUUUCCGACGAAUCAAAGUCCGUUGGUAUUUUCCGACGAAUCAUAGUCCGUCGGUAUAUACCGAGGACUUCGUUGGUCGGUAUCUUCCGAGGAUCCGUCUCCUUCGGUAUAUAGUUUUUCCGAUGAACUCUGGUCUCGUGUGUCCGCAUCGGAAUAUCGUCGGAAGUUCGUCAGAGUGACAUUUCUCGGUAUUCGUCAGAAAGUCGUCGGAAGGUCUGACGAAAUUCCAACGAAUCCUUUUUUUCCGACGAAAUGAUACCGACGAACGCGUUCGUCAGAAAUUCGUCGGAAUAGGCCUAUUCCGACGAAUUUUCGACGAUUUCGGCCAUCAGAAUCCCCUUGUUUUCUUGUAGUGGGAGAUGAAUUCCCAGUUUCUUGGAACAUAUGAUGGACGCUUGGACGUGAGACUCAUGAACCGGUUUGAAUAUGAAAUCUGGUUUAGGCAUUGAUGUGGUCAAGUAUCGUUGAUUUUGAGCCGUCGAGUUAAGGACUUCAAUGAACAUCGAGGCGUUUCUUUCUGAAGUGAAGAAUGUUUUGUCGAGUGGAAAAUCGACAUUUGUGUUUUGGUGGACACAAUUGAUGAAGUCAUCUUGUAAGGAGUUUGAAGAAGUUGAUGCUACUGUGUAGAAAGAAAAAUAUAGGGCUAAAAACGAUAUAUGAGAAACUGCAGGGGAUAAUUUUGAAACUCUCAUCCCUGCAACUAAAAGCAGAAUCGGCGAGAACAAGAUGGAAAUGGAUGUAUGUUGCGAGUGUUCUUUUGUCAGUGAAGGAACUUAUAUAAGAGAUUGUGAUCAAACUGUGUGAUUUAUUUUAUCAAAAAAAAAUUGGCCGUCUUAAAAAAAUUAGGAAAAAUUGCUAAAACAGAUCAAAAAAACAACAUAGUUGUCCGUAUGGUAUAAAACCAUCAUUAAGUUGUCCUUAUAGUAUAAUAUUUUUCAUAAUCCUAAAACUAACAUUUUCUUAAUCAAAUUAAACAUAAAUAAAAACCAUUUUUCAAAAGUUUAAUAGAAAAAGAUAAAAAAAUAAGGUAAUCCCAUAAUAUUUCAGAAAGGAAAAAAAUGUAAAAACAAUUAAAAAAAAAUAAAACACACGACACAAAUAAAAAAUAUCCCGUAACCUAAUUGCAUUUGGUUUCUAAAAUCCUCCAAAACUAUUCUUUUAAUAUCCUCUAAGGUAGAACUUGAUUCCAGUAAAAGUAAUCUACCCUCUUUAUCAUCAGCCGAAAAAUCUCAUCCCGUGCUUGCACUAAAUUCCCAAACACUACAUAUUGUAUAGAUAUGCAUCAUAGAACAAGAGUUUGUGAAAAUCACAAGACAAACUAUGGAGAAAUCAUAGAUUAAUGAAGAAGAAAAGCCAAAAUCUUUUUUUUUUUGAUAUUUUGACAAAGAAAAUCGACCAGGACACGUUUUAGGAAAUUAUAAUAUUUUUAAGGGAAAUUUGCCAAUAUGGAACUAAAUCUCUAUAGUAUUGUCCCCUUAGAACUAAAUUAUCUAACCUUGUCCGUAUAGAAUUAAUUCUUGUCCCCUUAGAACUAAUACUUUGUGAAUCUACUGUUUUGUCCUUUUCUUUAUAAUAUAGUUAAUAAAUUUUAAAAACUAUAUGAAUUAAAAAGGAAAUACUUAAUUAAAUAAAAAUAGGGCAAUUUUUACCCAACUCUCGAUCCCGUUCUCUCCGACUCUCUUUCCCAAUCGAGAGACGAUUUCUUUCUCGCCGGCGACACCUUCCGCCUCUGAGAUUCUUGGUUCGUCGGAGAGCUUCAACGAGGAGUCACAUCGCUUCUCCCUCCUCCUUCUUGCGUAUUUCCUCUGUUAGUGCCACCGGUUAGAUUGUCGUUCUUAUCUCCGCCCCUUAGAACUAAUACUUUGUGAAUCUACUGUUUUGUCCUUUUCUUUAUAAUAUAGUUAAUAAAAUUUUAAAAACUAUAUGAAUUAAAAAGGAAAUACUUAAUUAAAUAAAAAUAGGGCAAUUUUUACCCAACUCUCGAUCCCGUUCUCUCCGACUCUCUUUCCCAAUCGAGAGACGAUUUCUUUCUCGCCGGCGACACCUUCCGCCUCUGAGAUUCUUGGUUCGUCGGAGAGCUUCAACGAGGAGUCACAUCGCUUCUCCCUCCUCCUUCUUGCGUAUUUCCUCUGUUAGUGCCACCGGUUAGAUUGUCGUUCUUAUCUCCGCCGCCGCCGACCAUUGAAGCUGCUCAAGCUCGGGAGUAGCUUCUCCUCCCCGAUUAAGGACGAUUAGUUUCACAGUUGUUUUCUUUUGCUCUUCCUUCAUCUCGGUUCUGACAAUUUGAAGGUUAGGCUUUGAAAUCCCCUUUACGAUUUUGCUUUUUUUUGUUUGUUCUUUAUGUUUAUUUGCAUGUACUACAAAUUGUACUAGAUAGAGAGUUAGUUUAAAACACAAAUCGAAACAAGUUUAUGUUUUUCAGAGGCGGAAUGUGGUUGAGUGGGGUGUGAGAUUGGCUUGUUGUUGAGGUGAUUUUGAGUUCUAGUUUGUUUGGUAUCGGCUUUACUAAGGUUUAGAAUUCAUAAUAGACUUGAAAAAGCUAAUGACUUUGACAUGCUUUAGACAUCGAUUUUACAUACUUGUUUUGGGAUCGAGUUUGUUAUUUGAAUUGAAUUUGUCGAUAGUGUGUAGUCUUUUGUUAUUCAUUUGGUGCGUAGCUUUGACUCUGUUUUAUUUUAGAGGAAAACACAUUUGCUAGUUGAUUAUAUUUUGUUUCGAUUUGUGUUUCUAAGUAGUUUUGAAUUGUAAAAAACUAGUUAAAUGUGAGAUGGUUAUAUUUGGUUCGCUGUUAACUUAUGGAAUUCAUGUUUUUUAGGAAUGGCUCACCAGUUUCCUAAACGCAUUCUUCAAGAAGGUGCUGAGACGCAGAUGGAUAAGAUUAACAACACAUGUAGAAGGACGCUUCUGAAGGCGGUAAAGGUGGCUCUGAAAGAUGAGUAUGAGGAAGUUUUGAAAGACCCUGUCUUCGGGCCUCUUCUGGCGAUCAUAGAGAACAACCUCAUCUACUCAGGGAAGAUUAUUCACAGCUUCAUGUGCAAGCAGCUCAGGGUUUCCAAGCUUCACGAGCUGUGGUUUAUUUUUGCGAAGAGGCCUCUUAGGUUUUCUAUGCAAGAAUUUUAUGCUGUGACUGGAUUGAAGUACAAAGAGGAACCCGACGUAGACUUCAUUAACUGGAAGAAUGAUAAGGGGUUCUGGGCUAAUGUGCUGAAGACCAAUGCGAAGAUCAACUUAUAUACUAUAAGGGAUGAGCUCCUUAAGGUGUGUAACGAGUGGUCGUAUGUGGACAGAGUGAGGUUAGUUUAUCUGUCCAUUAUACAAUCAUUCCUCAUGGCUAAGGAUUGGAAAGUGUAUAUCCCUCAAGAAUACAUCCGCCCUUGGUGAUGGAUUUUGAGAAAUUGAGGAUGUAUCCUUGGGGUCUUCGCGCUUAUGAUGAGCUGAUUGCAUCAAUACUCAGAGCAAGAGAAGAUGUGCAUACGAAGAACAGCUACGUGUUGGAUGGAUUCUCAUAUGCGUUUCAGAUAUGGAUUAUGGAGGCAAUUCCAGACAUUGGUUCUAUAGUGGGUAAAAAAAUAAAAAAAAACGUGAAGAAAAUGAGAUGUAGGAAUUGGAAAGGUAGUGGUAAAGUAUCCUACCAAGAUAUCACCAGCCUAGAGUCCCACUUUGAUAAGGUAACUGUUAUUUCUUCUUUAAAUAUUGAGUUCAAUAAAUGUUCAAUGUAAGCUUAGUGUUUUGUUUGUUCUUGCAGGGAGAGCUGUUCACAUUUAUAUCAUCUACUGGUGAUUUCGAUGUGAUUGCUGAUACUGAGUUCCUUAGGGAAGAUGAAAAGAAGGACGAAAGAGUUGGUCGUAUUGUUGAAUUGAUCAAUGCGAAACAAGACUGGACGCAUUUCGAUUGGGAAGUUGAGUCUUUGCCUGCACAUAUGGACCUUUCUGAUUCAGAACAAGAUGAACUGGCUGAUGUUGCAGAAGAACCGUCAGAACAAGAGGAACCGACUGUAGUUGCAGGGGAACCGGCUGUUACUGCGAAAAGAGGCAUGCGCAAGCUAAUUGAUCCUGGUGCCGAGUCUCGAAAGAAACAACUGCUUUGUCAACGUGCGGCUGAACACAACAGUGGUGUCUCUAGUGAAAUGAAGACCUUCAUUGAAGGUUUGUUCACCGCUUCUUUCAACUCUUUUAAGGAAGUGGUGCAGAAGGACAUACAUGAGCGUUUUGACAACGUUGCCAAUGAGGUGUCUCAACUCAAGGAACAAGUCUCUCAGCUUAAGGGUCUAUCGGAAACAGUGGGAAAAGGCAACACAUCUGAGAUUCUCUCUCCUUCAGCAACAAUUGGAAAAGACCAAGGACCAUCAUCUCAUAGUACGGGUCCUCCCGCAGCAAAGGGAAAAGGCAAGGCAUCUGCAAAUGUCGAUCCUCCUCCGGUUCGUCGUAGCCCUCGGCCAGUAAGAGAGGUAACCAAAAAAUGAAGCUCUGUGUAUUUUGCUAUGUCGACUCUUUUGAUGUAAUGUCCUUGUAUUGUAAUAUGUAAUAUAUCGGCUUGUAUGAACUAAUGAUGAUGACUUGUGGGAUUGACUAUUUUGUAAUGUACUUUUCUAUAUUUUGCUAUGGACUGUCCUUUUAGUAUUAAUGUUAUGCUUGUUUUUAUUAACAGGAUGUUCAAACUGAUGAAAAUGAAAUGAUGGAUUUUUUGAAGAAUUUGACCAAAUCAGCGAGAUGUGUAGAUAAGGGGACCCAAGACUCUUUACAAGAAGCCAUGGGAAACCUUUCUCAAGCAUCUCAUGUUAAAGGUUUUGAUCCUUCACAACAUCUGGAUGGUAAUGAACCAGCUGACUUUGCCACUCCACUGUCUUCGUUUAAGCCUGCGGAUUGGAGACCACCUACUCUGAAAGACGUGGACUCACUUGAGGACCGGAUACAUGAUCCCGAUUACUCACUAGUGUUUGUCCCUGAGGCAUUAUGGGGCAAACUUGUUGACUGGACCAAAACUUUCAAGUAAGUUGAUAUUUUUAAUUUUUUUUAACAAUUCUACCAUUUUGAUACUGAAUUUUGUAAUGCAGAGAACUAAAAAUUGGACCAUCUAUGCUCACAAAUGAGUUAGUAACUCGUGUCGUCGGACCUUCAGAGUGGCUCCUGAAUAAGGUCAGUUAUUACCUUGUUCCUUUUUAUUUUGUGUACACAAACUUACAGUCUUUUAUCAAAUUAUGCAGGAAAUUGAUGGUAUGAUGUGGUUAUUCACUGAUAGGACUUCCUUGCGGCGAUGGUUUCCAAAUAAAGUAGCCUUCGUGACAUGCUUGUUCAGUAAUCAAAUUACGAACUCUUACAACGAGUAUAAGAAGGACAAGAAGAAAUUCAAAGUGGGCGGACUGCUACAACAGUACGGCAUUGGCGAACUUCCAGCACACGGACGAACAAGACUAAUGUGGGAUCUUGAUGUUAACCGCAUGUAUGUCCCCCUAAAUGUUGGUAAGCACUGGAUCUCUAUGUGCGUCAACUUUGUUACUCGGUCGAUAGAGGUCUUUGACUGUGAGGGACUGAGACACCCCGGUGCAGUGGAGCCAUUUGCAGUUCUCAUCCCUAGAAUUGUCAAAGCCAUUCAGUCUUCUAAGAGUCGACAGUAUCAAGUCAAGCAGUAUACCGUCUCCUACGUCUCAAUGCCCUUCUUAUUGAACAAAAGUAGCAGUGACUGUGGAGUAUAUGCCUUGAAGCACAUUGAAUGCCAUCUUCUAGGCUUGGACUUUUCCCUGGUGAAUGAUAACAACAUUCGUGAAGCGCGGCAGAAGAUUGCUUAUGACCUAUGGGAAGCUGCUAUUGAUCAUGUCCUUAUUGAAAGGAUGGCAAAAUUCACUCCCCCGAAGACAAUUUCAAGUGCUCUAGUGGAACUUGAAUAAAAUUCUUUCUGUUAUGACUUGUGUAGGAAGUAUAUUGUUAUUUGGUGAUUUUAUUUGACUCUUUUAGUUACCAUUUUACUCCUUUAGUUACUACCUUAUUUCACUGUUUUAUUUGACUCUUGAAGUAGCUUUCUCUUUACUUUUUAGGUGACAAUAUGAAACCCUAUCUAUACCCUAAAUGAUUGAUAUGCGAUGUCCUAAUUCUUAUCAAAACAUAACCGAAAUCUAAACCUAUCUAUACCCUAAAUGGCAUUAAAGUAGGACAAACUAUAUUAAACCUUAUACCUUGUACGACACUAAAGAAGACAAACGAUUUCAAACCCUAUACCCUAAAUGACACUAAAAUACCACAAUCUAUUUGGUGCCAAAAUUUAUCAACACAAUCAUUAGUAAUCUGAAAAAUUCAUAAUAAUCAAAACAAAUCUUUAUAAUGAAAACACAUACAAAUUGACCAUAUGUGCCCAUCCGAUUAGAAACAUUGUAAACCCUAAUUAUAUUCCUUAUAUAAGAUCAUAAAGCGGCCACAAACACUACAUCUUGCGGUGUUUUUUUCUCCUACUUGUUCUUAAAAAAUCUCUCCUCAAAAGAGAAUGACGAACACGAAAUACCAUGGAGCGAUCCCUACCAGAUGCUGGUGUGGAAAGAAGAUUGUCACUUAUGUUUCAAAAACGGAAGAGAACCCAUACAGACGAUUCUUCAGAUGUGAGAUUGGUUUACAGGUAAAUCUGAUAAUUCAUUACUUCAUAUUCUUCUAUAUGUCAAUUGAUUUGUUUUGUGUUUUGAAACAGAGAAAAAAAGAAAAUCAUAUUUUUAAGUGGGUGGACGAGGCUCUGCUUGAUGAGAUUGAAAGGAUGUCUGAGCAUCAGGCGAGAGUUGCUGAGGAAAUUGAAGAUCUGAGAAUUUCCAUGAAGAAGACAGUGCAUGAAGAAGUUAUGAACCAUAAGCAUUCGCUUGAUGUAGGUUGCGUAGGAACCCUUUUCAGUUUGUUAUGUCUCUGGUCCAAAUGUGAUUGAUAUUGUAAUGGUUCUCUGAUUCAAGUUACAUUUUCAAAUAUUGAACCAAUCUGAUUUCCAGUUUUAUUGUCGUGUUAUGAACAACGUUAUCAAACAAACCUAAUUUUCAUAGUCUCUGAAACAUAGUAUCCUAAAAAACGUGAAACAUAACUUGCAUAAAUCAAGAUGAAUAAAGCUUGCGUAAACAGAACUUGCAUAAAGUCUGAAACAUAGUAACCCAAAUCACAUGUUCUCCUAUCGUGCAUGAAACGAACUGAGUAUCCUAUAUUGCUCGAUCACAUGUUCUCCUAUCGUGCCCUCGAAUCCCACAUCGGCUACAUUUGCGACCUUUAGAGCCUUGAUUUCCUUGUGACGAACGGAUCUUAUCUUCGACUGUCUCGUAUCUGUGUUUCUUUCUUCUACCUGCAGCUCGUCUAGACUCUGGAGGAAGGACUUUCGUCUGCUCCACGUGAGAUGGAACAGUCCAAGCAUCUUCAGGGACACCAAUAGGAUUUAUGCUUUCUUCAUAAGCCGUGCGCCAUGACGCAGUAGUGUAUAUGUCGUCUGUGAGUGUGUGUGCUUGUAUUCCAACACUGAAGCCUGCUUUUAUGGCGUGCCUGCAUGGGAUUUUCAUCAGAUCAAACUUCCCACAAGAACACGUGCGUCUGACCAAGUCAACCAUGCAGUCAAAAGUGUCACCUUGAACCAAAAACCUGUCAUCGCUAAUCGGGAAGACCUUAAACUUUUUACCCUUCUCAAUCUUUCUGUCUAUCUUCUUCUCCACAGCAAUGGUCAGUGGCUUUGAGUGCUUAGAACUUAAAGUUCUACGUUGGAAAAACCAUCGAGUCAUCAUUUCCCUAAUGCUGUCCAUUAGAGGUAUUACUGGAAACUCUCUAGGCGUACGCAAAGCAGAAUUUAUCGACUCCGCAGGGUUAGUAGUGUUGAUAUCAUACCUGUAACCCGGGAAUUGACAACGAGCCCACUUCCUCACAUCAGCUUCUAUUAGAUAAUUUCCAAUUUCAGGACUAAUAGAGUAAAUAGCAGUGAACAGCUUACGAAAAUCAGCAGCUCGAUAAGCUUUAGAAGCCUUUGCAACCAAACCAGCCACACCUUUCCCACUAAAAUAUGUUACGACAUUAUUCAGCAAGUGGUGAAUGCAAAUUCCGUGAUGAGCUUGCGGGUACACGUUAGCAAUAGCUUUAGCAAUCGAGGAAUUCCUAUCAGACACAAAAGCUAAACUAUGCUCGUCAGCAAUGACCGCAUUAAGUUGUCUCAUAAACCAGUUCCACGCAAGGUCAUUCUCUGAGUCGACAACUCCAAAUGCAAUAAAAUAUAAAUUAGAGUUUCCAUCUAAUGCAGUAGCAACCAGUAAUACCCCUUUGUAUUUGCUCUUCAAGAACGUCCCAUCCACAACAAUAACUUUCCGAAUUGCAACAUAGAAACCGCGAAGACUCUGACCAAAGGAGAUGAAGAGGAAUCUGAAUCGCCCUUCAGAAUCCCUUUCAUAAGACGUGUGUGACCCUGGAUUAGCUUCCCUCAUCAUGUGCAAGUAUUUGGGAAUUUUUUCAUAGCCUUCCUCUGGAAGGCCUUUCACUUUGUUGAUUGCAUACUCACGUGCAUCCCAUGCCAAAGAAUAGGAUAUCUCAAGUCCAUGUUCUGAACGCAUAUACUGGACUAUAUCAUUAGAUCUCGGCCCUUCUUUAGCAGUUUCAUACAUAUGCAUAACCAGAGUACCAAUUGUUUUUGCUGAAGCUGUCCGAACAGAACCCUUCCUUUUGGAUGCAGCACAUGAAUGAUGAGGUACAUACUUUUUGAUGAUAAAAUAAGAUGAACCAGGUAACCCCUUUGCACGAACACGCCAGCUGCAAUCAUCAUCUGCGCAACGAAUGUACCACAUUUUUUUAUCCGACUUGACAAACUUAUAGUCGAAAUUAUGUUUCAUUGCACAUAUUUCGAAUGCUGCCUUCAAAAGCGUUUUCGAAAUAAAAUGUUGACCCUCCUUCACAAAAUCCACCAAAGAAAAUCGCACAUCAUUUCCAUUGGUCUUCUCUUUGUCACACCAUUCAACCUCUUCUUGUGAAUCCAUGGUUUAGAUAGGAAAAAAUUAGAGAAGAAGAAAAAAAAAAAAAAGAAAUCGUGAGACAACGAUGAAGAAGACCACAAUUUAGGAAAAAUAACAAUUAAAAAAGGAAAACAAAAUAUUUAAAAGAUUUAGAGAAUAUUUCAUAACCGUUUUUACCAAGAUUUCCGGAUUUAGUUUACUAACCGUUAUAGAACUUGCAUUCUACCAAUUUAGAAAAUAGAAUAAUAAAUAGGAUGUUAUAUACUACUAUAGUAGAUAUAAAGACAUGUUGUAGAUUGUAUUUUCUUGCGUGGUUUAUAAUAAGGAAGGAUUUAGAUUUUAUUUUCUAGCGCGGUUGAUGAGAUGACAUUGUUUAGUGUUUUAAAUCUACCAGAAAUAUAGAGCAUAGAGGAAAUCGUGAACUUCAUAUUCUGCCUUACUAGUUGUAUACGUUUCCGUUAUAAUAUGCAGCCUACAUGCCUUAGAACAUUGUGUUUCUUUCAGAUUACGUAUUCUAAACCGCCGUAGAUGGCAGAUAUGGUUAACUAGCACAUUUAGCCAAUUUUUCAAAUUAUUAUGUAAACAUCUUUUGAUGUCAAAAAUAUUUUUCUCACAUGCACAUGCUUAUCUACAUUAAGUUAACUAUUUUUCCAUAUUUUUUUCCUUUGUAAAAAAAAUCUUAUGAAUUUUUAUAUACAAAAAGGGUAGUCACUGUCCAAAUGUGUGAAAAGUUAAUUUAGUUCUAGGGGGACAAUACUUUAGAGAUUUAGUUCCAUAUUGGCAAAUUUCCCUAUUUUUAACUGAAACUUCCUUAAUUUUCGGAAAAACUGUUAUUUUAUCCGUAAAAGGCACCUUCUACACUGGUAGAACCAUGAUAAAAAUUCUGACUACAAUUUCUACUUUUUGUAUAUGUUCGUGUUAAGUUUAGAUUUCACAUACCCGGAAUUUUAGAAUAAUUCAAAAAGUAGAAACUUCAUUCAAAAGAAAAGUAGCGAUCUUUACAAUUAGUAGAAUUCACAUUACCCAUAUUUAGAAUUUUAAUUAUUUUUAGAUUGUUUAUUCUAAAAAAGUAGAUGGACUUGUUUAUUCUGAAAUUCAUUUUUUACUAACUUAUUUUCCGUAGAAGACGAAUUCUACUUUUAGUGGAACGUAAUUUUAAAAUUUUAUUUAUCAAUUUUUUGAACCAAAAAAAUGUGUUUGUGUAUAUAGGUAUUUUAUUAAUUUUUUAUAUUUUAAAUAUUUUUUGGAUUCAUAAAACUAUUUAUUUCAUUAAAUUUAAGAAAUGAAAAAGGUAAAAAGGAGAAUAAAUGGACAAAUAUGGUUUUAUAUCAUAGGGACAACUAUUAUGUUUUUUUUUGUUCUGUUUUGGCAAUUUUUUCAAAAAAUUAAUAGCAGUGGACGAAACAUAAAAUAGAGACUUUUAAAAAAAUUCUCAGCUUUUUGUAUUGCAUUUCCUUAAACUGAAGCAAAAGAAAUUUGUGGUAUUCAAAGAAAAAAAAAUUAAAAAGAUGGGCCUUAAUGUUAAACUAGGUUUUGUCAAUGGAAAAAUUGAGAAUGGUGAAGCUUAAAAUAAAUUUUGGUGUCUUUUUGUAUUUAAAAUGGGUUUAUCAUGGACCCUUUUGUUAUAAUUUCACUAACUAAUUAAAAAAUUAACAAACUAAAAUGGGUUUCUGUAGCUAUAAAAUAAAUGUCAAUUGUUUUUUUUGUCAAUUAGGCUUCAAGAUGGAAAUGAAUGUCAAUUGUUUUUUUUGUCAAUGAAGUAAUUUGUUCAUAUUUACACCUCAUUAAAAUUAAAUCCACUUAACAUUGGUAAUUAUGUAACAAUAGUUCAGAUUUAACUUAAGUUUAUAUUCAAAGAUGGUGUGCCCAGGAUUGUCAAAAGAUUCGGUAAUUAGGUUAAAAUGAUUUAGUUUCUUACGAUAUGGAAUACAUCUUGGGAAUCAGCCAAAAAUGACAUAAAACUUGAUUUUAAAUGCAAAAAUAUAUUUCAAUUUUAAUCAGAUGCAAAAUUAACUCAAAACACUAAUGAAAUUUUGACCAAUCAUUUAUGACCAAACAAAAAAUUAAUAUGCAUUUUUACGAAUAUAAGCUCUCGAAAUAUUUUGUAGUUUUGUAAGUAAGACUUCUUGGAUAUCUUCUCAUAUAAUAUAUAUUAAAAAUAAUUUGUAAAUUUUCUAAAAUAAUAUUUUGAUGGGAGAAAAUUGAAAUCAUAUAAUUAUAAACAUUUGUAAAUUAUAGAAAUUAAGAUAUGGUAAAAUUGAAUUGUUUCCAACAUAGAUUAGUGAAUGUAGUGUGUCAUGGUAUUUUUUGGUUUAGAGUUUGGUAACAUAUGUUGUAGUGUGUUUGUAUUUUAAGAUUAGUAGAAGCUUAACUUUUUUUUUUUGAAAAGUUAAAAUUUGACCUGUUUUUAGUUUUGUGUAUAUUAAACAUUUUUAAAGUUGAUUUUAAGUUUAAUGAAAUGAUUUAGUUAGUUAUUUGAGUUUAGGGUUUUUAAACUAGUAUAUUUAAGUCUUGUAGAAAAUAGUAUAUUUAGGGGUUAGAAGUCUUCUUGUAUAUUUUAUGUUAGAAUAUAUAGGAACCGAACCUUAAAUUUUACCAAAUACAUUAAACCUAACCCGAUUAUUUACGAGAGAUAUAAAUAGUAUUUUUCAUUUUUUGUUGAUAAAAGCAAGAAACUAUAGCCGUUUCUCUUCAUAUCGCCAAUUAUAAUUUUAACAUAUUUAAAAUAUUUGUUCAAAGUUAUUUUUAAUAAAUAUUCUUUUGAAAAUAUAGAAAACUAAAUUUAGUUAAAAUACAUUUAUAUUUAAAUUUUGGUUUGUCAAAGUUAACAUGAUUUUAUUCGUCAAAGCAAAAAAUCUAACUUACACUUCUAUACAUAUACGGUCUAAUGGAACCAAAUCGUUUUAAGUUGUUUUUCUUAACACUGGGUAUUCAUUACACUAUAUAGGCAAAGAAAAUUAUAUAAGAACAUCAAAUCCAUUAAAAAAAAAACUGAUACUAGUCAAAGAGGAAGCAAUACUCGAGAAUAAAGAAAAGCAACAGGAUAAGGUUUCCACAAAGAGGAUUCAAUUCACGAGAAAGAGAUUAGGAUACCCAGGGGCUACACUACGUUAGGUAAGGCCAUAAGGGUGGGCAGCUGCCAACCAUGGACUUUUAAAAUCAGUGUAUUUGUGUACAAAUUUUUACUAAUGUCCCGGUUAAUAAUCGAAAUUUAUAAAUAUAUUUAAUAGUGUUGUAUAUGUCUGCCCUAGAUAAAAAUUACUGCUUGAUCCGCCACUGGGGAUGCCGUGUCUAGAGACCACACGGUACUUGUGAGAAGGUGCCAAAAACCAUGACACAUAUACAAUAGCCGGUGGGAGCCGCAUUUGAUUAUGCCUUGAUCAUGUCUUGCAACUUGCGUGGACCAUUGCAGCGACAUACGACUAGUAACAAUGGUUACCAGUGACAGGUUCUGCUAUUUCGAUAGAUACCUUGUCACUUUCGGGACGUGUGAGCCCUAAGUGUAACCCCUUGUCUCUAGCAUUUCCAUUCAAUCAUAACAACAAUCUCAUUUCGGUUUAAUAUUUAAUUUAUUCAAAAGAAACAUCUUACAUUUUGUUUAAUUUUAAUAGAAAAUCGAAUAAAAUAAUUAUGAAGUCUUCAAUAUUUUACAUUUAGUUCCACUCGCAUCCACAAAUUCUAACAACUGUAUUUAAACCACUCAUGCCCUUAGUCCUAAAAUAAAUGUCACAAAGACCUAAGUGAAUACAAUAAAUCGGAAAAUGGUAAGAAGAAAGUACUGAAUACAUUACCUCUUGCACCACGCUCAAGAUCAUAAAUUCGCCUUUUCUUGGAUUUGAAAUCCAAAUCUCCUUGUUAAAAAACAUUAACCAAUCCUUAGUCAAACAAUUUGAUUAAGGGCUUACACCGAAUAUGUUUUCUGUUAUUGAUUAUAGUUUUAUAUAGAAGAGUAAAUUGGCUCAAAAUACAUAAAACAUCUUAUGUUUUAUACAAAUGUGGCGGUAUAAAACAUAAACACUAACUACGCUAAGAGAUGUACAAAACGAAUAUAAAAGCCCAAAUUGUAAAGGACUGAAGCCCAAGAUAUGUGUUAGACAAGACUACUGGUGUGUAACACAAUGAUAGUCCACUCGAACCAAACUUUAACAAAUUGAGAACGAGAACAAGCUUUCGAUUACGAUUCUAGUGCAGUAAAGCUGAUCAAGGAACUGGGAACUAAUUAAAAACAACUUGUCUGACUCAUAAGAAGCAACGCUUCAAAUUUUAGGUAAAACAAAGUGCUAAAUGCUUGCCUUAACUUUAUUUUAUUUUAUUUUUUACGGCAAACGGCUAUUCUAUUACUCAAACUUGAGGUGGUUUGGGGAGCCAGACCGGAAUAGAACAACCAAUAAAACAUAAGGAUCUAUGAAAAGAACGUGCAUUCCUAGCUAAAGAGUCAGCAAUCUCAUUCUGCGUCCUUGGAAAGUAGCUGAUGUUGAAGUCCGAAAAACAUAACCGAAGAGUUUGAAUGAUUUCCAGCUCAGUUGAGAAGUUGGAUCAAUCUUGUGGUUGCUCUAACAUUGCAAUCAAAUCUUUGCAGUCCGUCCCAAACCUCUGACAGGUCGAGUGUUGAAUCAUACUCUCCAUUGCCCACUUUAGCGCUUCCAGUUCCGAGUGUAGAGCUGUCUCCCUCCUCUGCAAGUUCCUUGACCCCAUGAGCUGUAUCUUCCCCAAUGUAUCCUUCCAAACCCAUCAUAUUCCACUAAACUUAGCUGUGGAGGUCCAUGAACCAUCCACAAUACAAAUAUUAUUCAAACUUAAGGCUUGUGUUUCUUCAUUAGUUUGUACAUUUGGCAGAUUCGGUAUAGUAUCUCUUGUAUUAUACCAAGCUUGGCACUCUCCCUCUGCAUACCUAACUAGCUCCAGUGGGUCUGAUUUCUUAUAGUUUAUUCUAAUUUGAUAUUCUUGAGCUUCAGUUUUGAACCAGCAUAGGCGGGAUACUCUGUUCAUGUCUGAAGAAAUUAUUUGGAUCAACCUUUGUUUUAACCUUCACCAACCUUUCGAAAUUUCCUUUGAAGUAACUAGCUCCCCAGACUUGAGCUUGGUUGAUGGUCGACUUACAGCCCUUUUUGUUCUAUCCAAGGUCUAGAUCACGGUAGUUCACGUAGGCUUGUCGUGGAUUCGCCGAGACAUAAGGAGUCAUGAAACUGUAGAGAUCUCUGAUCCAUUUGAUGUGCCUGCUUGCUCUCCUGUCACUGAGGCCAAUUCGUUACGUACUGAAUCUUGAAU
rnacentral:lncRNA from 1 species